rnacentral:hammerhead_ribozyme from 1 species
AUCCAGCUGACGAGUCCUAAAUAGGACGAAGCGCGCGUCCUGGAU